rnacentral:piRNA from 1 species
CGGGCUGUUACACUCAACUAGGUUUGU